rnacentral:rRNA from 1 species
CACAGGACCCUGAAAGGAUCUCUCCAUGGUGAUGGCGAAGUAGUACUCUCUGCGAGGAUACCUGCGCUCGCACACAAACACCUGGUUGCAGAUUCGGCCUGCCUCUCCGGUCUGCUUGGUGAACAGCUUUCGCCCGAUCAUCUGGGAUGAAAUAUCUCGGACCUCCUCCGGCGAGUAGACGAUCCUGACUCCGCCCUUCAGCCCACCCUCAAAUGUCCCCUUCCCUCUGCCACCAGCCAGCACCUGAGCUUUCACCACCAAAUCCUUCGUACCAAUCUGUUUUGCCACAUUGUAAGCUUCUUCUGAGGAGCUGGCCACCAUGCCGCUGGGCACAGAGAUGCCAGCCUCUUUGAGGAGGCCAAUGCUCAUGUACUCGUGUAGGGAGAGGUUCCUCUGCUGCUGCUGGAGGUGGGGGGGCUGCAGCUGGGACCCAUGGCUACCAAACAGACCCGCAGAUCCACCGAGAACCUUGGACGCGGUGCUGAUAGUGUUCCUAGUCCCAGAACUUCUAAGGCUAGCUGUCAAGCAGCCGCAAAUCAGGGACGUCGCCAUGGAGCAUGAGCGCGUGCGAUAGGACACGAAAAGAUGGUGAACUAGCCUGGGCCAGGGGCGAAGCCAGAGGAAACUCUGGUGGAGGCCCGCAGCGGUCCUGACGUGCGGGAAACUCUGGUGGAGGGCCCGCAGCGGGUCCCUGACGUGCAAAUCGGGUCGUCCGACCUGGGUUAGGGGGAAAAGAUAAUCGAACCAUCUAGUAGCUGGUUCCCUCCGGAGUUUCCUCAGGAUAGCUGGCGCUCGAAGUCUUCGCAGUUUUAUCUGGUAAAGCGGAAUGAUUAGAGGGCCUUGGGGGCCGAAACGGAUCUCAACCUAUUUCAAACUUAAAUGGGUAAGAAAGCCCGGCUCGUGGCUUGGAGCCGGGCGUGGAAUGCGAGCCGCCUAGUGGGCCCACUUUUGGUAAGCAGAACUGGCGGCUGCGGGAUGAACCGAAGCCGGGUUAAGGGCGCCCGAUGCCGACGCUCAUCAGACCCCAGAAAAGGUGUUGGUUGAUAUAGACAGCAGGACGGUGGCCAUGGAAGUCGGAAUGAUAUAGACAGCAGGACGGUGCCCUGGAAAGUCGGAACCCGCUAAGGAGUUGUGUAACACAACUCACCGGCCGAAUCAACUAGCCCUGGAAAUGGAUGGCGCUGGAGAGCGUCGGGCCCAUACCCGGCCGUCGCCGGCAACGGGAGCCGCGAGGGCUAGGCCGCGACGAGUAGGAGGGCCGCCGCGGUGCGCACAGAAGCCUGGGGCGCGAGCCCGGGUGGAGCCGCCGCGGGGUUGCAGAUCUUGGUGGUAGUAGGCAACAAUUCAAACCGAGAAUUUUAAGGCCGAAGUGGAGAAGGGUUCCAUGUGAACAGCAGUUGAACAUGGGGUCAGUCGGUCCCUAAGGAAUGGGCGAACGCCGUUCGGUAGUGCGGGGCGAUGGCGCCUCUGUCGCCCCCGGCCGAUCGAAAGGGAGUCGGGUUCAGAUCACCGAACCUGGAGUGGCGGAGAACAGGCGCCGCGAGGCGUCCAGUGCGGUAACGCAAGCGAACCCGGAGAAAGCCGGCGGGAGCCCCCGGGGGAGAGUUCUCUUUUCUUUGUGAAGGGCAGGGGCGCCCUUGGAAUGGGUUCGCCCCGAGAGAGGGGCCCGUGCGCCCUGGAAAGCGCCGCGGUUCCGGCGGCGUUCCGGUGAGCUCUCGCGGGCCCUUGAAAAACCGGGGGAGAGGGUGUAAAUAUUGCGCCAGGCCGAACCCAUAUCCGCAGCAGGUUUCCAAAGGUGAACAGCCCUCUGGCAUGUUAGAAUCAAAGGGAGAUAAGGGAAGUCGGCAAAUCCAGAUCCGUAACUUCGGGAUAAGGAUUGGCUCUAAAGGGCAGGGUCGGUCGGGCUGGGGUGCGCAGCGAGGCUGGGCUCGCGCCGCGGCUGGAGGAGCAGUCGCCCCGUCGCCCUCCUCUCUCCGCCGCCGGAGGCGCGGCGACGGCCCGCCCUGUGGGGGGUUUUCCCCGCUCUCCUCCGUCUGGCUCGUCCAGGCGGCGGGGGGUCGGGGGGGCUUCUCGCGGGGCGGUGUCCGGCGCCGUGCGGAAGGCGGGUCGUGGGAGGGGGCCGGGUACGGCGGGUGCGGCUGCGACUCUGGACGCGCGCCGGGCCCUUCUCGCGGAUCUCCCCAGCUGCGGCUCCCGCCGGGGGUCCCCCCGUCUCGGCGGGGGGGCUCCCCCCCGGCGGGCUGCCCCGGCCGGCACCUAGCAGCUGACUUAGAACUGGUGCGGACCAGGGGAAUCCGACUGUUUAAUUAAAACAAAGCAUCGCGAGGGCCGCCGGCGGGUGUUGACGCGAUGUGAUUUCUGCCCAGUGCUCUGAAUGUCAAAGUGAAGAAAUUCAAUGAAGCGCGGGUAAACGGCGGGAGUAACUAUGACUCUCUUAAGGUAACCAAAUGCCUCGUCAUCUAAUUAGUGACGCGCAUGAAUGGAUGUACGAGAUUGCCACUGUCCCUACCUCCUAUCUCGCGAAUCCCCGCCAAGGGAACGGGAUUGUGGCAGAAUCAGCGGGGGAAAGAAGACCCUGUUGAGCUUGGACUCUAGGUCUGGCCCUGUGAAGAGACAUGAGAGGUGUAGAAUAAGUGGGAGGCCCCUCGCGGCCGCCGGUGAAAUACCACUACUCUUAUACGUUUUCACUUAACCCGGGAGGGGCGGGGAGGCGAGCCCCCGAGCGGCUCUCGCUUCUGGUGUCAAGCGCCCGGCUUCCAGGCGGGCGUGACCCGCUCCGGGGNNNNNNNGUGAAGCAGAAUUCACCAAGCGUUGGAUUGUUCACCCACUAAUAGGGAAAGUGAGCUGGGGGUAGACCGUCGUGAGGACAGGUUAGUUUUACCCUACUGAGAUGUGUUGUGCAAUGGUAAUCCUGCUCAGUACCGAGAGGAACCGAGGUUCAGACAUUUGGUGCGUGUUUGCUUGGCUGAGGAAGCCAAUAUGGUGCGAAGUACAUCUGUGGGAUUAUGACUGAACGCCUCUAAGUCAGAAUCCCGCCUAGACGUGACGAUACCCUAGCGCUGCGGAACUUCGGUUGGCCCGGGAUAGCCGGCUUCGCCGGGUGCGGAGAGCCGUUCGUGACGGGGCUGGCGUGGCGCCCAAAAGCGGUCGCCCCUCUCCCAUUGCGCACUGCAUGUUUGUGGAGAACCUGGUGCUAAAUCACUUGUAGACGACCUGAUUCUGGGUCAGGGUUUCGUGCGUAGCAGAGCAGCUCCCUCGCUGCGAUCUAUUGAAAGUCAUC